GAUCGUUCCUGAACUCCAGACAAGUGUAUGCACCUGCUUCCCUGACAGCCCUCCUUAGAUGUCCUGUCAGCGACUCAAACUCAAUGUGUCCAAAGCCCAACUCUGCACUGUGGCCUGGGCCAAGGAGAGUGCCUAUGGCGUGCUUUUGGAUUGCUGACUGUGUGUAACUGCCGCAGGGGGUCAAAAGUGCCUGGUUUGCACAACAUCUCCCCGGACUUCUUACAUUUGUGGUUAUGGAAUCGGUGCAGUGAGGGGUCAGGGAGCAGAGGGAUUUGCACGCGCUUGAUCUCCUUCAUAUCAGAGUUGCUUUCUGAAAUCCGGCACAGGGAAGCAUGUCAUGUACAUGGGACCUAAGGUGGUAACCUUUCACCCAGCUGGAGACGUCAGAGAGUAUUCGUACUGGGGACCAGCAGCCCGUGGUGUUGUCCCCCAGAGAGGGGGAGAGAGCUGCUGCCUGCAGAGGGGCUGCUCCUGCUUCACAUGCCCCCUGCCUUCUGAGUCCCUCCAUCCCCUAGCUGGGCACGAGAGUGCCAAGAGGCCCAGUAGGAGGAGAAGCCUUCAUGGAGGACAGAGGGCAAGAGCAGGCCUACCAUGCUGACUUCCUCGCCUUGUGUCUGGCUGACUGCACAGGCAUGAGGAGGUAACCAACAACAGAAACAGAUCCGGAUGAACGAGCAAAAAAGACUUGACUGAACAAGUUUCCCCAGAAUGGAGAGGAACUGGGGCAGCUCUGGAGACCCACAGCAGAAGCUGGUGGAUCAUUUCACUGACACACCAGGAGCAAAUCAGUCCGACUUGUUUUUUGGCCCUUAAGUCUCCCUGCUCAAGGCUUAGAGCCCUGGAUAAUUGAAGGCAAUCCCCAUCCUGCAUGCCAUGGAUGGUGGCUCCCCUGGAGGAAGUUGGGGUGCUGAGACUAGAGCAUGCCUCUUCCACAUGUUGACUUCCCCAGGAAAAUACCAGCUCCCCUAAAGAUGCGUCUGUCUGCCAGGGUGAUAGUGUCACCCUUAUUAUUCCCUGGGCCUGAGAACUUAGCUGGAA